rnacentral:rRNA from 1 species
GACGAACGCUGGCGGCAUGCCUAACACAUGCAAGUCGAACGAUACCUUCCUCCCGAGUGGCUCACGGCUACGUGAAGCGUGGGAGCCGGCCCUUAGGGUCAGAAUAACUCAACGUACCGGUUGCUAAUACCGAAUAAUGUCUUCGGGCCAAGAAUUUAUCGCACUUGUAUGUGCCCGCGUUGGUUUGGCUAGUUGGUACGGUAAAAGCCUACGAAGGCGUCGAUCCGUAGCUGGUCUGUGAGGAUGAGCGGCGACACUGGGACGGGGACACGGCACAGAAUCUUACGGGAGGCAGGAGAGGGGAAUAGAGGACAAUGGGGGAAAGGCUGAUCCAGUUAGGCCGCGUGAGUGAUGAAGUCCUUAGGGUAGUAAAGCUCUUGUACCCGAGCUGAUAAUGACAGUACCGAGAGAAUAAGCCCCGGCUAACUCCGUG